rnacentral:rRNA from 1 species
AUUGAACGCUGGCGGCAGGCCUAACACAUGCAAGUCGAGCGGCAGCGGGAAAGUAGCUUGCUACUUUUGCCGGCGAGCGGCGGACGGGUGAGUAAUGCCUGGGAAAUUGCCCAGUCGAGGGGGAUAACAGUUGGAAACGACUGCUGAUACCGCAUACGCCCUACGGGGGAAAGCAGGGGACCUUCGGGCCUUGCGCGAUUGGAUAUGCCCAGGUGGGAUUAGCUAGUUGGUGAGGUAAUGGCUCACCAAGGCGACGAUCCCUAGCUGGUCUGAGAGGAUGCUCAGCCACACUGGAACUGAGACACGGUCCAGACUCCUACGGGAGGCAGCAGUGGGGAAUAUUGCACAAUGGGGGAAACCCUGAUGCAGCCAUGCCGCGUGUGUGAAGAAGGCCUUCGGGUUGUAAAGCACUUUCAGCGAGGAGGAAAGGUUGAUGCCUAAUACGUAUCAACUGUGACGUUACUCGCAGAAGAAGCACCGGCUAACUCCGUGCCAGCCGCCGCCGUAAAAC